rnacentral:rRNA from 1 species
GAUACCUCUCAAGGAAACUGGGUAUAAUACCCGAUAGGUCUCGAUUGCUGGAAUGCAUCGAGAUUUAAAGCUCCGGCCCCUAAAGAUGGGUCUGCGGCCUAUCAGGUAAUAUUGGGUGUAGCGUACCUACUAGCCUACAACUGGUACCGGUUGUGAGAACAAGAACCCGGAAAUGGAUUCUGAAACACAAAUCCAGGGCCUACGGGGUGCAACAGGCGCGAAAACUUUACAAUGCUGGCAACACCGAUAAGGGAACAUCGAGUGCCAAGUUACAAAUCUGGCUGUCUAGAUGCCUAAAAAGCAUUUCAUAACAAGGACCGGGCAAGACCGGUGCCAGCCGCCGCGGUAACACCGGGCGGCUCUAGUGGUAACCGUUAUUAUUGGGUCUAAAGGGUCUGUAACCCGCCGUGAUAAGUCUCUUGAGGAAAUCUGUGCAGCUUAUCUGUCAUGAAUUUCAUGAGAUACUGUCUGGGCUCGAGGCCGGGAGAGGUGAGAGGUACCUCACGGGGUAGGGGUGAAAUACUGACAUCCCUGAAAGACCAACAAUGGGGAAAGAAUCUCAUCAGAAAAGACCUGACCGGGCCGUAAGAAAACUACGGGGGGUAACCGCCUAUAUACUCCGGAAGUCCUAGGCGGCAGGGAUUCUCCCUUGCUGUCUGCGACCGCGCGACCGCUCUCGAUGCCGUACGGAAGACAUCGUGCUACCCGACCUGUCGAGUAACGCCGCCAAGCUGGAAAAAUAAACUGGAAGGACUGGGGAGGAAACACUAACGACGCGGGCUUGAGAGUCUAUUAGAUUGAAUACCAGCAUCAUACCUCGAGCGGGCCGCGAAUUAAAAUGCACGGCGGAAACCGAUUUCUGGCUCAUCUUAACAUAGAGAUGCU